AUGCAACAGCCUGCGAACUCACCGGAUAUGAACGCUCUAGACCUUGGCCUAUUUUCUUCACUACAAUCCAUGUCAAAUAGGCUAGUCUCUAAUAAUUUAGAUGAGCUAAUCAACAAUGUGUAGCACGAAUAUCAUGCUUAUGAUGUCGAUAAGAACAGGAUUUUCCUUACACUACAUAGUUGCUUAAUUGAGGUAAUGAAGAUAGGUGGAGGCAAUGACUACAAGAUCCCUCACAUGUACAAGGAUGGCCUAGAGCGUACAGGAAAUCUACCUGAUGUUUUAGGGUGUGACCGCGAACUCUAUGAGAGCGCCAUGCGGAUCAUAGCCGACUAG
rnacentral:rRNA from 1 species